UCGUCCCCAAAGACUAUAUUUGAGCUUGGAAUUUUCAAACAGGCCCUAAGUUCCGGUGUCGGUGACCGAUCAUGUGGUACCGAAAGUUGCCUAAUGAAGUUGUUUGGGUUGCCAACAGAGACACUCCAGUCUCCAAGCCCAUCGGAACACUAAAAAUCUUGAAUAACAACCUCCACCUCAUUGAUCAUACUAGUAACUCCGUUUGGUCAACCCAAGUGACUAGCCAAAGUCUGAAGUCGGAACUGACCGCCGAGCUUCUUGACAACGGCAAUUUGGUAUUGCGGUACUCCAACAACAACGAGACAAGUGGAUUUUUAUGGCAAAGCUUCGGCUUUCCGACGGAUACAUUACUCCAUGAUAUGAAAGUGGGUUGGGAUAAGAAGUCGGGUCUAAAUAGGAUAUUACAAUCAUGGAAAAACAGGAAUGAUCCUUCAACUGGCGAUUACACUUAUAGUAAAACUUAGAAGAAGCAAAAUGACGACUCGGACAACAAUAAUACAAAACUAAUACUUAUUGUUGUCGGAGUCGUCAUUUUGCAUCUUCUAAGUUUUACUAUAA
rnacentral:sRNA from 1 species